GAUGAACGCUGGCGGCGUGCCUAAUACAUGCAAGUCGAGCGAACAGACGAGGAGCUUGCUCCUCUGACGUUAGCGGCGGACGGGUGAGUAACACGUGGGUAACCUACCUAUAAGACUGGGAUAACUUCGGGAAACCGGAGCUAAUACCGGAUAAUAUAUUGAACCGCAUGGUUCAAUAGUGAAAGACGGUUUUGCUGUCACUUAUAGAUGGAUCCGCGCCGCAUUAGCUAGUUGGUAAGGUAACGGCUUACCAAGGCAACGAUGCGUAGCCGACCUGAGAGGGUGAUCGGCCACACUGGAACUGAGACACGGUCCAGACUCCUACGGGAGGCAGCAGUAGGGAAUCUUCCGCAAUGGGCGAAAGCCUGACGGAGCAACGCCGCGUGAGUGAUGAAGGUCUUCGGAUCGUAAAACUCUGUUAUUAGGGAAGAACAAACGUGUAAGUAACUAUGCACGUCUUGACGGUACCUAAUCAGAAAGCCACGGCUAACUACGUG
rnacentral:rRNA from 1 species